rnacentral:rRNA from 1 species
ACGGAGGGUGCAAGCAUUAAUCGGAUUUAUUGGGCGUAAAGAGCGCGUAGGUGGAGAUGCAAGUCGGACGUGAAAUCCCGAAGCUCAACUUCGGAACUGCAUUCGAAACUACAUCCCUAGAGGGUAGGCGGAGAAAACGGAAUUCCACAUGUAGCGGUGAAAUGCGUAGAUAUGUGGAGGAACACCGGUGGCGAAGGCGGUUUUCUAGCUUAUUCCUGACACUGAGGCGCGAAAGCAAGGGGAGCGAACAGG